GGUUAAGUUAGAAAGGGCGCACGGUGGAUGCCUUGGCACUAGGAGCCGAAGAAGGACGGGACUAACACCGAUAUGCUUUGGGGAGCUGUACGUAAGCGUUGAUCCAGAGAUUUCCGAAUGGGGGAACCCACUAUCUUUAGUCGGAUAGUAUCCUUACGUGAAUACAUAGCGUGAGGAAGGCAGACCCAGGGAACUGAAACAUCUAAGUACCUGGAGGAAGAGAAAGAAAAAUCGAUUUCCUGAGUAGCGGCGAGCGAAACGGAAAGAGCCCAAACCAAGAAGCUUGCUUCUUGGGGUUGUAGGACACUCUAUACGGAGUUACAAAAGAAAGUUAUAAAUGAAGCGGUCUGGAAAGGCCCGCCAAAGACGGUAACAGCCCGGUAGUUGAAAUAGCUUUCCCUCCAGAGUGGAUCCUGAGUACGGCGGAACACGUGAAAUUCCGUCGGAAUCCGGGAGGACCAUCUCCCAAGGCUAAAUACUCCCUAGUGACCGAUAGUGAACCAGUACCGUGAGGGAAAGGUGAAAAGCACCCCGGAAGGGGAGUGAAACAGUUCCUGAAACCGUGUGCCUACAAGUAGUUAGAGCCCGUUAAUGGGUGAUAGCGUGCCUUUUGUAGAAUGAACCGGCGAGUUACGAUUUGUUGCAAGGUUAAGCGGAAAAAGCGGAGCCGUAGCGAAAGCGAGUCUGAAUAGGGCGCAUAAGUAACAGGUCGUAGACCCGAAACCAGGUGAUCUACCCAUGUCCAGGAUGAAGGUAAGGUAAUACUUACUGGAGGUCCGAACCCACGCACGUUGAAAAGUGCGGGGAUGAGGUGUGGGUAGCGGAGAAAUUCCAAUCGAACUUGGAGAUAGCUGGUUCUCUCCGAAAUAGCUUUAGGGCUAGCCUCGAGGUAAAGAGUCAUGGAGGUAGAGCACUGUUUGGACUAGGGGCCCUUCUCGGGUUACCGAAUUCAGAUAAACUCCGAAUGCCAUGUACUUAUACUCGGGAGUCAGACUGCGAGUGAUAAGAUCCGUAGUCGAAAGGGAAACAGCCCAGACCACCAGUUAAGGUCCCCAAAUAUAUGUUAAGUGGAAAAGGAUGUGGGGUUGCUUAGACAACCAGGAUGUUGGCUUAGAAGCAGCCACCAUUGAAAGAGUGCGUAAUAGCUCACUGGUCGAGUGACCCCGCGCCGAAAAUGUACCGGGGCUAAACAUAUUACCGAAACUGUGGAUGAACCUCUUUAGAGGUUCGUGGUAGGAGAGCGUUCUAAGGGCGGUGAAGUCAGACCGGAAGGACUGGUGGAGCGCUUAGAAGUGAGAAUGCCGGUAUGAGUAGCGAAAGAAGGGUGAGAAUCCCUUCCACCGAAUAUCUAAGGUUUCCUGAGGAAGGCUCGUCCGCUC
rnacentral:rRNA from 1 species